GGCCAAUUUAUUUGCCAAUGUCUGACCCAGCAGAUGUAAAUAUUGAUUUCCUUCGCUUUUACGUAGCUUUAUUUUUGCAAUGUGCAGUCUGUAUUGCCAGUCAUUUCUCUUUACCUGUUCUUCAACCCCCACUACCCCCCCAAAAAAUAAACAUAAUAUUAGUAAUAUUAUUGCUAGAAUUAUACUUUCCACUUACAUUAAAAGGCCACCUAUUGUUAAUAUGUUUUUUCAAAAUUGGUUGACAGAGUUUAUGAUGAUCUGAAGGCAAAAAGGACAAGGUUUAUUUUAGCACCAGGCCAGACAUUUCUCGAUGAUUACUCACUAUAUUCCGGCACACUAGGCACCACAGACACCAAGACCCUGAUUGAAGCAUUUGACAGAUAUUGACUGACUCCCUUUCGUUACAAUUUCCAGAACUGGGGACAGAUUUUUAGGCUAUUU